rnacentral:rRNA from 1 species
AGAGUUUGAUCCUGGCUCAGGACGAACGCUGGCGGCGUGCCUAAUACAUGCAAGUCGAGCGAACAGAGAAGGAGCUUGCUCCUUUGACGUUAGCGGCGGACGGGUGAGUAACACGUGGGCAACCUACCUUAUAGUUUGGGAUAACUCCGGGAAACCGGGGCUAAUACCGAAUAAUCUGUUUCACCUCAUGGUGAAAUAUUGAAAGACGGUUUCGGCUGUCGCUAUAGGAUGGGCCCGCGGCGCAUUAGCUAGUUGGUGAGGUAACGGCUCACCAAGGCGACGAUGCGUAGCCGACCUGAGAGGGUGAUCGGCCACACUGGGACUGAGACACGGCCCAGACUCCUACGGGAGGCAGCAGUAGGGAAUCUUCCACAAUGGGCGAAAGCCUGAUGGAGCAACGCCGCGUGAGUGAAGAAGGAUUUCGGUUCGUAAAACUCUGUUGUAAGGGAAGAACAAGUACAGUAGUAACUGGCUGUACCUUGACGGUACCUUAUUAGAAAGCCACGGCUAACUACGUGCCAGCAGCCGCGGUAAUACGUAGGUGGCAAGCGUUGUCCGGAAUUAUUGGGCGUAAAGCGCGCGCAGGUGGUUUCUUAAGUCUGAUGUGAAAGCCCACGGCUCAACCGUGGAGGGUCAUUGGAAACUGGGAGACUUGAGUGCAGAAGAGGAUAGUGGAAUUCCAAGUGUAGCGGUGAAAUGCGUAGAGAUUUGGAGGAACACCAGUGGCGAAGGCGACUAUCUGGUCUGUAACUGACACUGAGGCGCGAAAGCGUGGGGAGCAAACAGGAUUAGAUACCCUGGUAGUCCACGCCGUAAACGAUGAGUGCUAAGUGUUAGGGGGUUUCCGCCCCUUAGUGCUGCAGCUAACGCAUUAAGCACUCCGCCUGGGGAGUACGGUCGCAAGACUGAAACUCAAAGGAAUUGACGGGGGCCCGCACAAGCGGUGGAGCAUGUGGUUUAAUUCGACGCAACGCGAAGAACCUUACCAGGUCUUGACAUCCCGUUGACCACUGUAGAGAUAUGGUUUCCCCUUCGGGGGCAACGGUGA